rnacentral:rRNA from 1 species
AUUGAACGCUGGCGGUAGGCCUAACACAUGCAAGUCGAACGCGAAAGUCCUUCGGGAUGAGUAGAGUGGCGGACGGGUGAGUAACGCGUAGGAAUCUAUCCUGUAGUGGGGGAUAACGUUUUGAAAGGAACGCUAAUACCGCAUACGCCCCAAGGGGGAAAGCGGGGGAUCUUCGGACCUCGUGCUAUAGGAGGAGCCUGCGUCGGAUUAGCUAGUUGGUGAGGUAAAGGCUCACCAAGGCGACGAUCCGUAGCUGGUCUGAGAGGAUGAUCAGCCACACCGGAACUGAGACACGGUCCGGACUCCGACGGGAGGCAGCAGUGGGGAAUAUUGCGCAAUGGGCGAAAGCCUGACGCAGCCAUACCGCGUGUGUGAAGAAGGCCUUCGGGUUGUAAAGCACUUUCAGUGGGGAGGAAAAGCUGGUGGCUAAUAUCCAUCGGCCGUGACGCUACCCACAGAAGAAGCACCGGCUAAUUCCGUGCCAGCAGCCGCCGUAAAAC